GAUUGUUGGAGCUUGUGGCUCAGUUUUACCCAUUUUUAGCAGGACGUAUCUCAAAAUAUGGGAAUGCUGGCAAAGUUCUGAAUCUGAAGACAUAAUUACUUGUCAUAUUCUAGUUGUGUAAAUGUACUGCCUGAUUGCCCCUCCUUCCCUCCAGGACAUCACCGGAAAACACGAGGCAUCCAAAUUUUAAUCUUUCAUGGUCUAAAAUCUUGAAAGUCAAUCAGCGAUGCAUAACCAGAACUCCGCAAAGAAGCUCGAAGGUGCUGAAGAAGACAUCUGGGAUAGACAGAAAUCUUCCUCUUUCCAUGAAAUCCAUUUAAAAUACUCUUAAAUAGGUUAAAUCUGUGCAAGAUCCUUAUUGUGCCCAUGAUUAUUUUACAGAUGGGGAAUUGAUGCACUGAGAGAGACGAUAUGUUUACACUGCGACUGGGAGCGUCCUUCCCAACACAGGUAUACAGAUGUGUUUGCUGCACUCAAGCUACAGUAAUGUGCUAAAAAUAACAGUGUAGCAGGGCAUGGGGGUAGCACAGGCAGCAGCUCAGGCUACUUGCUGAGUACAAACCCACCUGGGCAUGCACUUGGGCAGCACGUCUGUCUCUCGAAGCUGGGAAGCAUGCUCCCACCUGCAGUGUAGACAUACCAUAAGUGACUUGCACAUGGUUACACAGAAAGUCUGUGGCAGUGUGGGGAAUAAAACCCUGGUCUCCCAAGAGAGUGUCCUAACCAUUGGUCCAGGGCCGGCCCACUACAUUUUGGGACCUGAG